rnacentral:rRNA from 1 species
UACGAAGGGGGCUAGCGUUGCUCGGAAUCACUGGGCGUAAAGGGUGCGUAGGCGGGUCUUUAAGUCAGGGGUGAAAUCCUGGAGCUCAACUCCAGAACUGCCUUUGAUACUGAGGAUCUUGAGUUCGGGAGAGGUGAGUGGAACUGCGAAGUGUAGAGGUGAAAUUCGUAGAUAUUCGCGAAAGAACACCAGUGGCGAAGGCGGCCCA